GACGAACGCUGGCGGCGUGCCUAACACAUGCAAGUCGAACGGUGAAGCGCCUUCCUUUUUGGUGGGUGUGGAUGAGUGGCGAACGGGUUAGUAACACGUGAGUAACCUGCCCCCUCCUUCUGGAUAACCGCAUGAAAGUGUGGCUAACACGGGAUAUUCUGGGCCGCUCGCUUGAUGGGUCUGGGACAGUCAUUCUUUCGCUUGUGGAUGGGUCCGCGGCGUAUUAGCUGGUUGGUGGGGUGAUGGCGUACCAAGGCGGCGAUGAGUAGCCGGCCUGAGAGGGGGGUCGGCGACCCCACAGGGACUGCGACGCGGAGAAGACUACGGCAGGCAGCAGCAGUGGAGAAUAUUGAACGAGGGGCGGCCGGACGGUGCAGCGACGCGGCGGGGAGGAUGGUGGCCGUCGGGUUGUGAACCUCUUUCGGGGGUGAAGAAGGGCUGCCGUGUUUGUGGGUGGGUUGACGGUAGCUAGUUAGGAAGCGACGGCUAACUACGUG
rnacentral:rRNA from 1 species